AACGAACGCUGGCGGCAUGCCUAACACAUGCAAGUCGAACGAGACCUUCGGGUCUAGUGGCGCACGGGUGCGUAACGCGUGGGAACCUGCCCUUAGGUUCGGAAUAACUCCCCGAAAGGGGUGCUAAUACCGGAUAAUGUCUUCGGACCAAAGAUUUAUCGCCGUUGGAUGGGCCCGCGUUGGAUUAGCUAGUUGGUAGGGUAAAAGCGUACCAAGGCGACGAUCCAUAGCUGGGCUGAGAGGAUGAUCAGCCACACUGGGAGUGAGACACGGCCCAGACUCCUACGGGAGGGAGCAGUGGGGAAUAUUGGAAAAGGGGCGAAAGCCUGAUCCAGCAAUGCCGCGUGAGUGAUGAAGGCCUGAGGGUUGUAAAGCUCUUUUACCCGGGAUGAUAAUGACAGUACCGGGAGAAUAAGCUCCGGCUAAAUCCGUG
rnacentral:rRNA from 1 species